rnacentral:rRNA from 1 species
GACGAACCUUGCUAACGUUAUUCGGAAUUAUUGGGCGUAAAGGGCGCGUAGGCGGCUUUUCAAGUGACGGGUGAAAUCCCUCGGCUUAACCGAGGAACUGCCUGUCAGACUGGAAGGCUUGAGACCGGGAGAGGUGAGUGGAAUUCCCAGUGUAGAGGUGAAAUUCGUAGAUAUUGGGAAGAACACCAGUGGCGAAGGCGGCUCACUGGCCCGUAACUGACGCUGAGGUGCGAAAGCGUGGGGAGCAAACAGG